CGCACCUUGCACCUCUUAGUAUUCUGAGAGGUACACCUGUUUGAGUAUCAUUAAUACUACUCCAUACAAACUCUUCUAUGAAGAACUGUAUAGGGAUUUGGGAGGUUGCAGUGAAUAUUGCUCUCCUUAAAUGAAUUAGCAGUGAUUAUUACUAAAGAUCCUUUGGUUGAUGUGAUAGUUAAUCUCCUCUCAACUUUUCUUUGAAUAUUCAUUUCUGCUUCAAGCAGUCUUUACUAGAAAAAGACAGUUACAACUUUAAGACAUGAUCUCAAAUCAGGUGGGAUUACCCGCUGAACUUAA
rnacentral:misc_RNA from 1 species